rnacentral:rRNA from 1 species
UACGAAGGGGGCUAGCGUUGCUCGGAAUUACUGGGCGUAAAGCGUGCGCAGGCGGUUAUGUAAGACAGAUGUGAAAUGCCCGGGCUUAACCUGGGAACUGCAUUUGUGACUGCAUGGCUAGAGUUUGGCAGAGGGGGGUAGAAUUCCACGGUGUAGCAGUGAAAUGCGUAGAUAUGUGGAGGAACACCGAUGGCGAAGGCAGCCCCCUGGGUCAAGACUGACGCUCAUGCACGAAAGCGUGGGGAGCAAACAGG